GCUUUUAUCUUUGGAAUGUCCAUAUCCACAAAGGAACCACAAAGAGCUGAUGAUCAGCCACUAUUUCGGGAGCUAGGAUAUGGCCAACGGCAUCACACCCUCUGGCCAGCCUCUCUGGAAUAUGCCUGUAUGAUGAAGAGAGGAAAAAGCAUCCGAUGGACACAUGAAACCUAGUUUCCUAAGAAGCAAAUCAAACUGUUAUCUUGUCGAUCUACAUUGAGCCCUACCGAUGGAAAAACCUGUCUCCCUACAAGACACUGAUAAUGCUC